rnacentral:rRNA from 1 species
CGCGAAUGGCUCAUUAUACAGCCUAUAAUUACUUGAUCUUGGACACAUUCCUACUGGAUAACCUGUGUAAAUUCUAGAGCUAAUACAUGCAUUAAAGCUCUGACCUCACGGGAAGAGUGCAUUAUUUAGACAAAACCCAAGCGGCUUCGGCUGUUUCUGGUUGACUCAUAGUAACUGAGCUGAUCGCACGGUCUUGCACCGGCGACGUGUCUUUCAAGUAUCUGCCGUAUCAACUUUCGAUGGUAGUGUAUCUGACUACCAUGGUGAUCACGCGUAACGGAGAAUAAGGGUUCGGCUCCGGAGAGUUCGCCUGAGAAAUCGCGAACACAUCUAAGGAAGGCAGCAGGCGCGAAAAUUACCCACUCUCAGCACGAGGAGGUAGUGACGAAAAAUAACGAGACCGUUCUCUUAUGAGGCCGGUCAUCGGAAUGGGUACAAUUUAAACCCUUUAACGAGUAUCUAGAGAGGGCAAGUCUGGGCCAGCAGCCGCGGUAAUUCCAGCU